UACGUAGGGGGCUAGCGUUGUCCGGAAUCAUUGGGCGUAAAGCGCGUGUAGGCGGUCCGGUAAGUCCGCUGUGAAAGUCGAGGGCUCAACCCUCGAAUGCCGGUGGAUACUGUCGGGCUUGAGUACGGGAGAGGCGAGUGGAAUUCCUGGUGUAGCGGUGAAAUGCGCAGAUAUCAGGAGGAACACCGAUUGCGAAGGCAGCUCGCUGGAACGUUACUGACGCUGAGACGCGAAAGCGUGGGGCGCAAACAGG
rnacentral:rRNA from 1 species